UUUAUCAAGUCCGUCUUUGAUGUUUCAAUGAGCGACACAAUUGACAUGGAAAUUCAUUUGAAUAUACGGUUUUAGGGUUAGCUUCCUGGUUGUGUGUAAACACAACUAAUUUUUUUAGACUAGUGCGUCUACCUUCCUUGCUGGUUGGGAGCUAAGCAGCUGACAGCCAGCCACUACUUUCCCUCAUAUUGUCAGUCUCCAUAUUUAAGCUGUCGCAUAAUAUUACUGUGAUUAAUAUAAAAGCCUUGUUGAGUUGGUCGAAAGGAAAGUGUGAAUAGACCCAACUCAACAAUUAACCCCAAUGAGUAACAUAAAAGCAGUACAAAUAAUAAUAGUGUCCACGUCAUAGGCACAUCAGACACUGUCUGCCAACAAUUGCAAUUAAUUUCAUUGUCGGUUUGCGUUGAAUGUUUGUCUACUUCCUAUUCCCAACUUCGACUUGUGUUUCCUGGCAUCCCGUCCGCUAAUAUAGUCUGGUUUAAUUGGUUUAUCAUCAUUGCGUCGCAAUGACACAGAUGCGUUAGUAAAAUUACAUGGCACAUUAGAGUGGGCAGUUAAAAACCUAACGACCUGUUGAGGUAUAUACUGUUGAGAACCGAAGUUGUAGCUUUUUAUAGCGCACUACCUGCACAUCGGCCGUUACCAUUGUUGAACAGCGCGCACGAGCAGCCACUAAAAAAGGUAGGAUGGCCGACAGCAACAAAUCGAUAUUUUGGAAGCUGCAAAUGAUGCAGAAAGGUUACUAUAUGGCCCCGGAAUUUACGGCUCGAUAUGUAGUGUUCUCAGGAUAUGAUGUCCACCGCAAGUCACCAUCGUAAAAAGACGAUCUUGGAAUUCGGCCAUAACAUUUUUAUUAUUUAAUAUUUGUUUAUGAAAGUAUUAAUAAGUACUUAGAAACAUGUACUGAACA